ACUGACCCUAGAGACACUACAGGUAUGGGUAGUGUGUCACAUGUGUCUUAGGCAGUAGAGAGGAGAGAGACUAUGUCUACUUUCCAUGUUUUAACCUAUGAACAUCUGGAUGAUUAGUAGCCCAACAUU